rnacentral:pre_miRNA from 1 species
UUCAAGUGUAGUUGUAGGUUUUCGUAUCUAAUGUUUAACCGUAUGUUUUAUUUAAUUUUUUUUAUGAUUACUAUUUUUAUUGUUAUUAGAUAGUGCGUGAUUCAAUUUUUUUAUAAACUUUUAAAUAAGACGGAUGGUCAAACGUUAUACACAAAAACACAAAAACUCACA